AUUUCUCAUAUGAUGAUGGUUUGUGUUCUUUAACAGUUUGCUAAACGUCUUUGUUUUAACUUUCAUCUGUGCUACGUAACUUUAGCUCGUAAGCUAACCUGUUCAGAUACAACAUACCAUAUGUAUUUUCACUGUCUCAAACUCAAUGGCGUUGCUGUCACGGCACCAUUAGGUCUUGGUUGUUACCUUACGUUUAUGGAUGAUAGUUUAAUGUGCUUAUCUGGUACUGGCCCCGACUCAGUACAUGCUGUCAUGACAGACAGACAUCUCAACACUAGUGUCUAAUCAGAGCUGAAAAACAGUCAGUCUGCUGUUGAGUCAGUCUUCUCGCUUCCACCCGGGACGUGUCUUUUUCCCCCCGGAAAGUCGCAAAAUCACAUCGGGCUUGAUGUGUAUAGUCAGGC